GUUACGGCGCGAGGGUCUCUGGGUGCUUUCGCCUCAGAGGGUACUGAAAUUGUUAGUGUUCUAGGGUGUGGGUCUCUUGGGUCGUAAGAGCAAGGCUUGGUGUGAGGUGUACUGCCCGGUGAUUCCCGCACUGUCCUGGGACGCAUGCAGAGUCCGUAGGUUACGACAGGUCCUUACAGCGUCACAGGUAAGCCUCUCCCUGGAGCUGCCAGCCCUGCCUCUGCCAAGAUCGUUCCUAGUGCUUUCCGGAUUUGGUGGUGGGCCAGAGUGGUCCUGUAAUAGGUGGCUUCCUGUUUGAAGGGCUCUCCGAUGAGGAGGAUGACUUUCACCCAAGUGCCAGGUCCACGCCCUCGAGCAGCACGUCCAGCUCCCGCCCAGCUUCCCUGGGGUACAGUGGAGCCGCCGGACCCCGGCCCAUCACUCAGAGCGAGCUGGCCACGGCCCUGGCCCUGGCCAGCACUCCGGAGAGCAGCUCUCACACGCCAACUCCUGGCACCCAGGGCCAUUCCUCUGGGACCUCCCCAAUGUCCUCAGGCGUCCAGUCAGGGACGCCCAUCACCAACGAUCUGUUCAGCCAAGCCCUACAGCAUGCGCUGCAGGCCUCCGGGCAGCCCAGCCUUCAGGUCAGUCUUCCCACUCCUGGUGUCCACGCGGCUCUUUGUCACCUUGGACACUGAGCUUUUUGUGCUCUGUGGAGGCCCUUCCCACUUGGCCUGCUUUGCUCCAGGACAGCUGGGCCGUGACAGUGUGACAGGAGAGGAUGCCCGCAGCAAGGGCGGUUGUCCCUGUGGCUUCCACUCCUGCACCCAGUGA
rnacentral:lncRNA from 1 species